rnacentral:tRNA from 1 species
UCCCGUGUGGCUCAGUUGGUAGAGCAUGGCGUUUGCAAUGCCAGGGUUGUGGGUUCAAUUCCCACGAGGGAC